rnacentral:rRNA from 1 species
UACGAAGGGGGCGAGCGUUGUUCGGAAUCACUGGGCGUAAAGGGCGCGUAGGCGGCCCUUCUUGUCGCGUGUGAAAGCCCCGGGCUCAACCUGGGAACGGCGCGCGAGACGGGGGGGCUGGAGUUCGGGAGAGGAGCGUGGAAUUCCCAGUGUAGAGGUGAAAUUCGUAGAUAUUGGGAAGAACACCAGUGGCGAAGGCGGCUCACUGGCCCGGUACUGACGCUGAGGUGCGAAAGCGUGGGGAGCAAACAGG